rnacentral:rRNA from 10 species
UACUUGGAUGGGUGACCCCCUGGGAA